AACGAACGCUGGCGGCAGGCUUAACACAUGCAAGUCGAGCGCCCCGCAAGGGGAGCGGCAGACGGGUGAGUAACGCGUGGGAACGUACCCUUUGCUACGGAAUAGCUCCGGGAAACUGGAAUUAAUACCGUAUGUGCCCUACGGGGGAAAGAUUUAUCGGCAAAGGAUCGGCCCGCGUUGGAUUAGCUAGUUGGUGGGGGAAUGGCCUACCAAGGCGACGAUCCAUAGCUGGUCUGAGAGGAUGAUCAGCCACAUUGGGACUGAGACACGGCCCAAACUCCUACGGGAGGCAGCAGUGGGGAAUAUUGGACAAUGGGCGCAAGCCUGAUCCAGCCAUGCCGAGUGAGUGAUGAAGGCCUUAGGGUUGUAAAGCUCUUUCACCGGAGAAGAUAAUGACGGUAUCCGGAGAAGAAGCCCCGGCUAACUUCGUGCCAGCAGCCGCCGUAACAC
rnacentral:rRNA from 1 species